GAGGAAUUUUGCGCAAUGGGGGAAACCCUGACGCAGCAACGCCGCGUGAGUGAUGAAGGCUUUAGGGUCGUAAAGCUCUGUCAAGUGGGAAGAACCUAUUUUGUAUUAAUACCACAAAAUACUGACGGUACCA
rnacentral:rRNA from 1 species